rnacentral:rRNA from 1 species
GAUGAACGCUGGCGGCGUGCCUAACACAUGCAAGUCGAACGGAGCUGCUUUGAUGAAGUUUUCGGAUGGAUUUAAAGCAGCUUAGUGGCGGACGGGUGAGUAACGCGUGGGUAACCUGCCUCACACUGGGGGAUAACAGUUAGAAAUAGCUGCUAAUACCGCAUAAGCGCACGGUUCCGCAUGGAACAGUGUGAAAAACUCCGGUGGUGUGAGAUGGACCCGCGCCUGAUUAGCCAGUUGGCGGGGUAACGGCCCACCAAAGCGACGAUCAGUAGCCGGCCUGAGAGGGUGAACGGCCACAUUGGGACUGAGACACGGCCCAAACUCCUACGGGAGGCAGCAGUGGGGAAUAUUGCACAAUGGGGGAAACCCUGAUGCAGCGACGCCGCGUGAGUGAAGAAGUAUUUCGGUAUGUAAAGCUCUAUCAGCAGGGAAGAAAGUGA